AAGCUAGUACUAUAUGGACAUAACUCUUGUUCUCUUGCAUUUGCAGCACAAUCUCCGUCUUGUCCUGUUUGUCAUGAACAAAUACUUUCAAGAUUUCACCAACGGACCAAAGUUCCAAGACCUCUGUCAAGCCGGUAUGAGAGGGCUUAUCACAGCUAUUGACCGGUUUGAACCAAAAAGGAAGUUUCGUCUUUCCACUUAUGGUUUGUUUUGGAUUAGACACGCCAUCAUACGGUCUAUGACAACCUCAAACUUCACUCGUGUCCCAUUUGGACUUGAAUCGGUACGUUACACACUCUUUUAGGUAGUACUAGAUUGUAAAGAGACUGAAUCUUGAUAAACGGAUCGCGUUGAAGAGAAACAUUCAAGAGAAACCAGUUAUUGUCUCUGCGCAGAAGAAAGUAACAAAGAGGCAGCAAGAGGAGGAGAAGAUCGAGAGGCUCGUGAGGGACUACUCAGCUUCUAAUGAUGUUGUCAGCUUGGACUGGAAGAAAAUGAAGAUGCCUCCUGUUCUUUCUUCCACAGAACAUACUUGGUUGUUUAAGUUGAUGCAACCUAUGAAGGUACUCUUCUAACUUUGUUUAAAUGUUCAAAAAGAAUAUAUUGAUAUAACUUUUAUAUUCAUACACUUAUAUUAGAUAUUUUAGUUUUUUUUUUGUGUCUAACUAUAAAAUUAUUUUGAUCUAUAAAAUUAGAUAUGGAAAAACAAAUUAGACAAAUUUAUGGUUUUAGAAUUUAAACUAAUAUUAUUGUUUCUUUGUACCGAACAAUUCUUCAGACGUUAAAAAAAAAAAACAAAUUUAGAUCAAUUUGAACCGAUUUAAAACGGUUUAAGCAGAUUUAAAUCGGAUAAAUCUUAACCGAGUUUUAGAACAUUGUUAAAUCUUAAGUAUGGUUAUUACAGAUGCAAUAUAAGCUGACAAUGUUUGGUUAUAACAUUGCAGGCUCUUCUUGAAGUGAAAGAUGAACUGCAAAAGAGUCUGGGAAGAGAGCCUAGGGAAGCUGAAAUAGCUGGAGAGAUCAAUAUGAGCGUGGCUGAAGUGAAAAUGAAAAUCAAAGUUGGUAAAGCUGCAAGGAACAAACUUAUUAAAGUGAGUCUCAAAAGAUUUUAACUUUCUUACAAAAGCUAGUACUAUAUGGACAUAACUCUUGUUCUCUUGCAUUUGCAGCACAAUCUCCGUCUUGUCCUGUUUGUCAUGAACAAAUACUUUCAAGAUUUCACCAACGGACCAAAGUUCCAAGACCUCUGUCAAGCCGGUAUGAGAGGGCUUAUCACAGCUAUUGACCGGUUUGAACCAAAAAGGAAGUUUCGUCUUUCCACUUAUGGUUUGUUUUGGAUUAGACACGCCAUCAUACGGUCUAUGACAACCUCAAACUUCACUCGUGUCCCAUUUGGAC
rnacentral:lncRNA from 1 species